UUCCCAUGAAGAAAUAUUCACAUGUCUUACUAUCUGUCCUAGUGCCAGAGCCUGAAAAGGUGAACCCACUGGGGGAGAAGAGGAAAAUUGGUUCCAUAUAAAAAAUAGCCAAAUGGUAG